GGGCCAUAUCUUACCUUGGAAAAUUUAAGAUUUUAAGAUUUGUCUUUAGUAUUCUCUUAAAUACGCAAAAAUUAAUUCCAGCAGACAUAGUUUUGGAGAAAACCCACGAAAAUAAAUUCCAGAGAAUAAUAAGUACUUUACAGUAAUCCCUUGUAUUCCAGGUUCAACUGCUUAAACAUUCUGUCUGAUGUAUGACAGCAGACAAAAUGAUCUCCUUCACUCUAUCUGCACUGGACUAUUCUAUCUAAAAUAUAUAAGUAAUCUGUUCCAUAGUGUUUCUUCCCAGUAUUUUGAUCUCAGUUGUGUCUGUGUUUCCUUGACACUUGUAUAUUCCUUUAGAUCAUGUUAUAUGAAUGUCUACUUUACGCCUGUGUCACUUUUGUGUUUAAGUUUCAUACAUGUAAACUAUGUCCCGAAAAUCUAUGCUAAGCUUAACUCUCUUUGUACAGAAACUAUAUUAUUCUGGUUCCCAAAACCAUUAACUGGGUCAUCAUAAGGCUAUAAACUUGUCAUGUAUUACCAAUGCAGGUUCUAAUCAACAUACUGCUUCAGUUGUUGUUUCUCAGUUCUGUUAGUAUUUGUGUAUUAUUUCAAUCUCAUGGCUGUAUUAAAAUCAUACAAAUUUCCAGGUUCUAAACAUAUUUUGUUUUUAUGUUCACACAUCUGUGGCUUGUGCAUAGCUGUAUAUAUGUACAUCUUUUACAUAUUGAAUUUUUGUUAUUUUUUUUUUCCUAAAAUGGCUUUUGUUGUUCUCUGGCAUCAUUAUGCCCAUGUAUUGCAGCUUCUAUUAUCAGCAGCCUCUAUGGUUAUACUUUGUAGCUUAUGUCAUACCCUGGGCAUCAGCAUCUGCAUCCAGUAAUGGAGAAAACAAUGUUAAACAAAAUGUUAGGAGGUGGUACCUUAAAAAGUACUGCAGGUAUUGAGCUCAAGGUUUGCACACUUGUAGAGCACAAUAUCAGGUGGGGGAUAUUGCAUCAUAGAUUGGGUGUGCGCAUAUUAAAUACUGUAAAUUACUGAAUACCUGACUUAGUGUAUUGUAUAAUAGAAUCACAGUUAAACAAGUGUUAGGGUUGGUAUCUUACAAAGUAUGUCAUGUAUUGACCUGAAGUUUUACAUACAUAUAAAUCUCCUUGAGCAUAUUAAUUACUGUAAAUUACCAAAUUCACGAUUUCAGUUUUUUAUGCAUUGGGCUGAAGUUUUGCCUUCAUGUGUCUCAUACAGGCGAGCCCUUUGGUAGCAGUUCUAAGUUUAGCAUAACAUAUUGUUGUUCGUUUGUUUUUAUUGCAUUCUUACACCAUUACACUUUUUCUGUAAGCCUCAUACUGCUUGUGUUGCUCAUACAUGCUCUUGAUUAAAGCCUUCUCUUGUAAUAUAUCCAUAGUGUUCCAAUUGUUUUAUAACCAGAGGCUUGGUCAUUUUCCUAACUAAUCUAAAGUAUGCAACUAAUCGUUGUAUACUUCGUUGUUAUCACAUUUAUUAAAUAAUAUAAAGUUUAUCUUAAAUACAAAUCUCUUAUAACUUGAGGUUCCUUUUAUCAUACAUGCAGUACGUGUUCGGUGAAAAAAAGCAUAAUUUACAUGUACCUUUUUUUUAAAUUUCAGGUUUACUUAUCCUGAGCAUUCUUGUCAAUAUGGGGUAGGCCAAUCUUUUCACCUUUUAUGCAACAUUGAUUCAUUCAAAGGCAUCUUCAAGAUCCUUGUCAACCAUGAUGUAAGCCAAGUGCUGACAUUCACCUUUCGUAAAACACAAGUACAUAUCCUCUCCAUUCCUCCCCGGAGUACAACAGAAGUCAACAUUUUGGGGUGACUAGAGACAGAUAAAUCCAUCAUCUGCAAUUAAUCCUGCCAUCUUUCAUGAACACUUCACACUUCAUUUUAUAUUUUCACCAUUUGUGACGCAAACCUUGUUUCUGCACAGGUAGUCUAAAUCACCUCUGUUGAAGCUUGCUGUUUCAUUUGGUUUUAAUCUCGGUGCAUGUGUUAUAUGAACAACUGCCGUCAGCGUCUAAAUUUAGCUUGCCACUGUUUACAUAUGCUGAGUUCAGGGCCUGCUGUCUGCCUCUGCCUUAGAAUGUUCCAGAAUACGCUCAGUUCAGGGCCUGUUUGUUUACAAGUGUUCAAGAAUUUUCUUAUUCUAGAAAAUUCCACCAGUCUAUAUAAGACCUAUGAAAGCAGGUCAAAGGAGGAGAAUGGAGAAUUGAGAGUUUUGGAUGCUUUCGCUGUGUGUUACUUUAGUAGGCCUUUUGUGCUGAAUUUUGGUGUCUUUAUAGCCUCUGGUUUUGUUAUAACCUAUCUCCACCGAGCACUUGUUCAGUCUGAACUUGUAUAUUUAAUUUGUGCUCUUGUGUACACAGUGGUUAUUAGUACACGGACACUGUCUGUGGAAUUUUGUGUAUAUUUCGUCAUACACUCAGUUAUACUGUGGAUUUUCCCUCUUGUGAAUAUUGCCUCUGUGCAUUUUUAAGCAUUAUGGAGUAUAUGCGUGCGUUUGGACUCGACACCGUUGUACAUGUAAGUACUUUAGUAUUUGUAUAGAUACUGCUAUCCUU